rnacentral:rRNA from 1 species
UACGGGGGGGGCAAGCGUUGUUCGGAAUUACUGGGCGUAAAGGGCUCGUAGGCGGCCAACUAAGUCGGAUGUGAAAUCCCCAGGCUUAACCUGGGAACUGCAUCCGAUACUGGAUGGCUUGAAUCCGGGAGAGGGAUGCAGAAUUCCAGGUGUAGCGGUGAAAUGCGUAGAUAUUUGGAGGAAUACCGGUGGCGAAGGCGGCAUCCUGGACCGGCAUUGACGCUGAUGAGCGAAAGCUAGGGGAGCAAACGGG